rnacentral:rRNA from 1 species
AACGAACGCUGGCGGCAUGCCUAACACAUGCAAGUCGAACGAGACCUUCGGGUCUAGUGGCGCACGGGUGCGUAACGCGUGGGAACCUGCCCUUAGGUUCGGAAUAACUCCCCGAAAGGGGUGCUAAUACCGGAUAAUGUCUUCGGACCAAAGAUUUAUCGCCUUUGGAUGGGCCCGCGUUGGAUUAGCUAGUUGGUAGGGUAAAAGCCUACCAAGGCGACGAUCCAUAGCUGGUCUGAGAGGAUGAUCAGCCACACUGGGACUGAGACACGGCCCAGACUCCUCCGGGAGGCAGCAGUGGGGAAUAUUGGACAAUGGGCGAAAGCCUGAUCCAGCAAUGCCGCGUGAGUGAUGAAGGCCUUAGGGUUGUAAAGCUUUUUUACCCGGGAUGAUAAUGACAGUACCGGGAGAAUAAGCCCCGGCUAACUCCGUG